rnacentral:rRNA from 1 species
GCUUAACACAUGCAAGUCGAGCGCCCCGCAAGGGGAGCGGCAGACGGGUGAGUAACGCGUGGGAAUCUACCCAUCUCUACGGAAUAACGCAUGGAAACGUGUGCUAAUACCGUAUACGUCCUUCGGGAGAAAGAUUUAUCGGAGAUGGAUGAGCCCGCGUUGGAUUAGCUAGUUGGUGGGGUAAAGGCCUACCAAGGCGACGAUCCAUAGCUGGUCUGAGAGGAUGAUCAGCCACACUGGGACUGAGACACGGCCCAGACUCCUACGGGAGGCAGCAGUGGGGAAUAUUGGACAAUGGGCGCAAGCCUGAUCCAGCCAUGCCGCGUGAGUGAUGAAGGCCCUAGGGUUGUAAAGCUCUUUCACCGGUGAAGAUAAUGACGGUAACCGGAGAAGAAGCCCCGGCUAACUUCGUGCCAGCAGCCGCGGUAAUACGAAGGGGGCUAGCGUUGUUCGGAUUUACUGGGCGUAAAGCGCACGUAGGCGGACUAUUAAGUCAGGGGUGAAAUCCCGGGGCUCAACCCCGGAACUGCCUUUGAUACUGGUAGUCUUGAGUUCGAGAGAGGUGAGUGGAAUUCCGAGUGU